ACGGAAGGCGCAGUAGGGAAUAUUGCACAAUGGGGGGAACCCUGAUGCAGCAACGCCACGUGAGGGAAGAAGGUUUUCGGAUUGUAAACCUCUGUCAUCGGGGACGAUAAUGACUGUACCCGAGAAGGAAGCUCCGGCUAACUACGUGCCAGCAGCCGCGGUAAUACGUAGGGAGCGAGCGUUAUCCGGAAUUACUGGGUGUAAAGGGAGUGUAGGCGGGACUGUAAGUCAGAUGUGAAAUAUACCGGCUCAACUGGUAGACUGCAUUUGAAACUGCGGUUCUUGAGUGAAGUAGAGGUAAGCGGAAUUCCUAGUGUAGCGGUGAAAUGCGUAGAUAUUAGGAGGAACAUCAGUGGCGAAGGCGGCUUACUGGGCUUUAACUGACGCUGAGGCUCGAAAGCGUGGGGAGCAAACAGGAUUAGAUACCCUGGUA
rnacentral:rRNA from 1 species